rnacentral:rRNA from 1 species
GACGAACGCUGGCGGCGUGCUUAACACAUGCAAGUCGAACGGAAAGGCCCUGCUUUUGUGGGGUGCUCGAGUGGCGAACGGGUGUGUAACACGUGUGUAACCUGCCCUUGACUUUGGGAUAACUUCAGGAAACUGGGGCUAAUACCGGAUAGGAGCUCCUGCUGCAUGGUGUUGGUUGGUAAGUUUCGGCGGUUGGGUAUGUACUCGCGGCUUAUCAGCUUGUUGGUGAGGUAGUUGCUUACCAAGGCUUUGACGGGUAGCCGGCAUGAGAGGGUGACCGGGGACAAUGGGACUAAGAGAGGGAGCAGACGGGAACGGGAGGCAGCAGGGGGAAAUAUUGCAGAAGGGGGGGAAGCGAGAGGAAGAAAAGCCGGGAGCGGGAAGACGGGCUACGGGUUGAAAACAGAUGUGGAAUGAGACGAAGAGGGAGUGACGGUAAUGGGUAAAGAAGCACCGGCUAACUACGUG